rnacentral:rRNA from 1 species
CCUACGGGAGGCAGCAGUGGGGAAUAUUGGACAAUGGGGGGAACCCUGAUCCAGCGACGCCGCGUGAGUGAAGAAGUAUUUCGGUAUGUAAAGCUCUAUCAGCAGGGAAGAAAGAAAUGACGGUACCUGACUAAGAAGCCCCGGCUAACUACGUGCCAGCAGCCGCGGUAAUACGUAGGGGGCAAGCGUUAUCCGGAUUUAAUGGGUGUAAAGGGAGCGUAGACGGCAGUGCAAGUCUGGAGUGAAAGGCGGGGGCUCAACCCCCGGACUGCUCUGGAAACUGUACGGCUGGAGUGCAGGAGAGGUAAGUGGAAUUCCUAGUGUAGCGGUGAAAUGCGUAGAUAUUAGGAGGAACACCAGUGGCGAAGGCGGCCUGCUGGACGAUGACUGACGUUGAGGCUCGAAAGCGUGGGGAGCAAACAGGAUUAGAUACCCGAGUAGUC